GACGAACGCUGGCGGCGUGCCUAAUACAUGCAAGUCGAACGCAGUGGGGACGGGUGAGUAACACGUGGGUAACCUCCCAUCAGAGGGGAUAACACUUGGAAACAGGUGCUAAACCGAUACUGAUGGAUGAACCCGCGGUGCAUUAGCUAGUUGGUGAGGUAACGGCUCACCAAGGCCACGAUGCAUAGCCUAGCUGGGAGGUGGAUCGGCCAGACGGGGACUGAGACACGGCCCAGACACCUAAGGGAGGCAGCAGUAGUGAAGCUUCGUCAAUGGACGAAAGUAUGACCGAGCAACGCCGCGUGAGUGAAGAAGGUUUUCGGAUCGUAAAACUCUGUUGUUAGAGAAGCGGUAGCUAACCAGAAAGCCACGGCUAACUACGUGCCAGCAGCCGCGGUAAUAC
rnacentral:rRNA from 1 species